rnacentral:misc_RNA from 1 species
UCAGCCUAAUAGUCAGAGAACUAGUGUGACUUACUCUGGUGAAAAGAAUGUUCAACCAAGCUGGUCUUUGAGUUCAAUAUUUGGAAGGAAAGUCAGUGGAAGAUGUGUUCUUGCAAAGUCUAGUAAUGUAUACCUUCAGCUUGAGAGAGGUCUAGUUGCCGAACUAAAGAAAAACAAGAAUAAUGGGGUUGGCAAUAUAGCUUCUGAAGGGUUUUGGAGUGGAACUGGGUUUGAAUUGUCAGUUAGACCAGACAAGGUGUUUGAAGAAGAGAAUAGCAGUCACAGAAGGGGCUCUUCAGUCCUUUUUGAGUUUUCCAUCGAUAAAUACAGUGACUCUCAGCCUUUUGAUCUAGGCCUUAAAUGGAAAUUUCCUGUAACGUGGUCAUCUGAACCAGCACCGUUACAUGCUAGUAGGUUCUUGAUGGGAAGUGGGAAUGAAAGGGGUGCAAUUGCUAUCCUGUUGAAAUCUGCAGACUUAAAUGAUGCCUCCUUGGGUACUUGUAGCAGUAGUAAUGGAUAUAAAUUCCGAGUUGAUGUUUUCCAAGUUGUACCUUGGUAUGUUAAGGUAUAUUAUCAUACUCUUCAGUUGUUUGUGAAUGGCCAACCAAAGGCAGUUGGAGAUGUUAUAGAGACGAUUCACGUUUCACCUUCCAAAGACAAGAUAUCACCUGGAGUCAUGGAGAUGGUUUUGCAAUUUCCUUGUGAUGUGAAAUCAGCUGCUUUAACAUUAGAGUUUGAUAAGGGUUUCCUACACAUCGAUGAAUAUCCUCCAGAUGCUAAUCAAGGAUUUGAUAUUCCAUCAGCUGCAAUAAGCUUUCCCAACUUUUAUACCAGCUUGCUUUUUCCUGGCAAUUGUUCUGUGGACAAGUCACCUAUGUUGUCAAAAUUUCAGGAAAAAAAUCCUGUUCUCUCUUAUACAGAAGUAUUACUUGUGCCGUUGACAACUCCUGAUUUUAGCAUGCCAUACAAUGUCAUCACAAUCACAUGCACUGUAUUUGCAUUGUAUUUUGGAUCAUUGCUAAAUGUUCUUCGAAGGCGUGUGGAUGAGGAGGAAAGGCUUCUUAAAAGCAAAGCUGGCAAAACCACUCCGCUUUCUGGGCUGCUUUCAAAGUUAUCUGCUAAGCUAAGAGGAAGACCACAGGAAACUCCUCAGUCACCAUCUAAUUCAUCAUCCUUGAUUAGUUCUAAAUUGCUGUUGAAAGUCUUUUUAGUAGCUGUGUUAGCUGUUGCUUGGCAAUACUAUUUUGGAUGACAUCUUCAAUUACU